CACGUAGUUAGCCGUCACUUCCUUGUUGAGUACCGUCAUUAUCUUCCUCAACAACAGGAGUUUACAAUCCGAAGACCUUCUUCCUCCACGCGGCGUCGCUGCAUCAGGGUUUCCCCCAUUGUGCAAUAUUCCCCACUGCUGCCUCCCGUAGGAGUCCUGGGCCGUGUCUCAGUCCCAAUGUGGCCGUUCAACCUCUCAGUCCGGCUACCGAUCGUCGCCUUGGUGGGCCGUUACCUCACCAACUAGCUAAUCGGACGCGGGGCCAUCUCAAAGCGGAUCACUCCUUUUCCCUCUGCUCGAUGCCGAGCCGUGGGCUUAUGCGGUAUUAGCAGUCGUUUCCAACUGUUGUCCCCCGUCUUUGAGGCAGGUUCCUCACGCGUUACUCACCCGUUCGCCACUCGAUUUGAAGAGCAAGCUCCUCAUCUCUCGUUCGACUUGCAUGUGUUAGGCGCGCCGCCAGCGUGUCGUCGUAGCACGGAGUCAACUC
rnacentral:rRNA from 1 species